ensembl:lncRNA
AUGGCACAAAGCUUACGAUUGCACUUUGCAGCCAGAAGAAGCAAUACUUAUCCUUUGUCAGAAACCUCCGGAGAUGAUUUGGAUAGCAGCAUUCACAUGUGCUUCACGAGACCAACACGGAUUUCAACGGCGAACGUGGUUCAAAUGAAGCUGACUCCCAAACAGACUGCAUUAGCUCCGUUAAUAAAGGAAAACCUUAACAGCUGUCUGCAGAUAUCAUUACAACCAACAAGGUACAGUGGAUGUCUUCAGUCUGGCAAUGUCUUAGCUGAUGGUGAUGAUGCUUCAUUUACUUGUGUCUUAAAGGAUGGCAGUGCUGUGGUUGAUAACGAACUGAAUGCCACGGAUGAUGGUAACCUCUUAAGCACCAGUGAAAAUGGGUCUUACAGCAGCAAUGGUAGUGAUUAUGGGUCCUGCACAAGUAUCACCAGUGGAGGUUCAUACACCAACAGUAUCAUCAGUGACAGCAGUGGUUAUACUUUUCCACCAACUGAUGAUACCUUUUUUGGUGGAAAUUUAUCUUCUGACAGCGCCUCCAGUAGAAGUGUGCCAAACAGGAAUACUGCUCCAUGUGAAAUUUUCUCAAGAAGUACAAGUACAGUUCGCUUUGUCCAGGAUGACUUGGAUCAUGGACUAGAGAUUAUGAAAUUGCCAGUGAGCAGGAACUCGAAAAUUCCACUAAAACGUUGUUCAUCCUUAGUCAUUUUUCCUAGGAGUCCUUCAAAUACACCACCAACUUCUCCAACAAGUACAGGUACUCUUCCAAGCAAAGGAUCCUAUCAGACCUCACACCAGUUUAUUAUUUCUCCUAGUGAAAUUGCCCACAGUGAAGAUGGCACUAGUGCUAAGGGAUUUCUUUCAACAGCUGUCAAUGGACUUCGGUUAUCCAAGACAAUCUUAAGAGACAUACGACCUCUUCACAGGAAGGGCUCAUUACAAAAGAAAAUCAUUAUUGCAAAUAAUAGUCCAAAUCAGACUAUCUGUGAACAGCCAUCUGAAGGAUAUUCUUGUGUUUCACUGCAUUUUACCCAACAGAAAGCAACUGCAUUAGAUUGUGAAGCAGCAAAUGGUGAUUGUAAACCAGAGAUGUCAGAAACUGAGCUUAAUUCUGAUCCAGAGUUUAUUAAGCUUAUGCAUAGGACAUCUGCAUGUUUACCAUCCUCCCAAAAUGUAGAUUAUCAAAUAAAUAUCAGUGGACAGUUGGAAAGACCAAAUUUACAGAUAAACAAAAACCAUGCUCUUUUACAGAGAAGUAUUUCAUUGGGGGGAACUUAUCCAAAUGUUUCCUGUUUAUCUAGCCUAAAGCACAAUUGUUCUAAGGGGGGACCAUCUCAAUUACUCAUAAAGUUUGCAUCUGGAAAUGAAGGUAAAGUUGAUAAUUUAACCAGAGACAGCAACAGAGAUUUCACAAAUGAACUACCUAAUUCUUUAAAGCAUUCUUAUAAGCCUGGCUGGGUAGUUUUGGACCAACCAGAUGCUGCUUGCCAUUUGCAGCAGCAACAGGAACCUUCUCCUCUACCUCCAGGGUGGGAAGAGAGACAGGAUAUCCUUGGAAGGACCUACUAUGUAAACCAUGAAUCUAGAAGAACACAGUGGAAAAGACCAACCCUUCAGGACAACCUAACAGAUAAUGGUAACAUUCAACUGCAAGCCCAGCGUGCAUUUACCACCAGGAGGCAGAUAUCUGAGGAAACAGAAAGUGUUGACAACCGAGAACCUUCUGAGAACUGGGAAAUUAUAAGAGAAGAUGAAGCCACCAUGUACGGCCAUCAAGCCUUCCCUUCAUCUCCACCAUCAAAUAACUUGGAUGUCCAGACUCAUCUUGCAGAAGAAUUGAAUGCCAGACUCACUGUUGGUGGAAAUUCAGCCACUGGCCAGCCAGUAUCCAACUCAAAUCAUUCCAGCAGAAGAGGCAGCUUGCAAGCCUAUACUUUUGAGGAACAGCCUACACUUCCUGUGCUUUUGCCUACUUCAUCUGGAUUACCACCAGGUUGGGAAGAAAAACAAGAUGAAAGAGGAAGAUCAUACUAUGUGGAUCACAAUUGCAGAACUACUACCUGGAUAAAGCCCACUGUACAGGAAGAUCCAAGACUGAAAAUUCCAGCUCAUCUGAGAGGAAAGACAUCACUUGAUUCUUCCAGUGACCUGGGGCCUUUACCUAAUAAAGAACCUCUUUUUUUCUCUCUUUCUUCAGAUAGUAAAAAAACACAAUGGGAAGACCCUCGUUUGCAGCAUGUAGCAAUAACUGGACCAGCAGUGCCCUACUCCAGGGAUUACAAAAGAAAGUAUGAGUUCUUCCGAAGAAAGUUGAAGAAGCAGAAUGACAUUCCAAACAAAUUUGAAAUGAAACUUCGCCGUGCAACUGUUCUUGAGGACUCUUACAGGAGGAUUAUGGGGGUCAAGAGAGCAGACUUCCUCAAGGCUAGACUGUGGAUUGAGUUUGACGGUGAAAAGGGACUAGAUUAUGGAGGAGUUGCCAGAGAAUGGUUCUUUCUUAUUUCAAAGGAAAUGUUUAACCCUUAUUAUGGGUUGUUCGAAUAUUCUGCUACGGAUAAUUAUACCCUACAGAUAAAUCCCAAUUCUGGACUGUGUAAUGAAGAUCACCUCUCUUACUUCAAGUUUAUUGGUCGGGUAGCUGGGAUGGCAGUGUAUCAUGGCAAACUGUUGGAUGGUUUUUUCAUCCGCCCAUUUUAUAAGAUGAUGCUGCACAAGCCAAUAACACUUCAUGAUAUGGAGUCAGUGGAUAGUGAAUAUUACAAUUCAUUAAGAUGGAUUCUUGAAAAUGAUCCAACAGAAUUGGACCUCAGGUUUGUCAUAGAUGAAGAACUUUUUGGACAGACACAUCAACAUGAGUUGAAAAGUGGUGGAUCAGAAAUAGUUGUCACCAAUAAGAACAAAAAGGAAUAUAUUUAUCUUGUAAUACAAUGGCGAUUUGUAAACCGAAUCCAGAAGCAAAUGGCUGCUUUUAAAGAGGGAUUUUUUGAACUGAUACCGCAGGAUCUCAUCAAAAUUUUUGAUGAAAAUGAACUAGAGCUUCUGAUGUGUGGCUUGGGAGAUGUGGAUGUGAAUGACUGGAGAGAACACACAAAGUACAAAAAUGGCUACAGCAUAAAUCAUCAAGUCAUCCAGUGGUUUUGGAAGGCUGUUUUAAUGAUGGACUCAGAAAAAAGAAUACGACUACUUCAGUUUGUCACUGGCACAUCACGUGUGCCUAUGAAUGGAUUUGCUGAACUGUAUGGCUCAAACGGACCACAGUCAUUUACAGUUGAGCAGUGGGGCACACCUGAGAAGCUGCCAAGAGCUCAUACCUGCUUUAAUCGCCUGGACUUGCCACCCUAUGAAUCAUUUGAAGAAUUAUGGGAUAAACUUCAGAUGGCCAUUGAGAACACUCAGGGUUUUGAUGGCGUGGAUUAGAUUUUAAGUAGCCGUUUAUGGUGUUUUACUGCCACUUUUUUUUUAAAGCAAAAUCUUGACUUAAAAUUUUCCAGGGAACUACUAAUCCUUGGCCAUUGAUGCUUCUCAGAUAUUGGAGAAAAUCGUGUCAACGAAUUAGAAGAGCUAGGAUGACAACGCUUCCAUUAUUUCAUUCAUUUUAGUAAUGUGUUGCAUUUACAUAGUUGUUUCGUUCUAUUUUGAGUUCACACCCAAGGAUUUAAGUCCUGUGUGCCUGAAAACGUGAGAUUUAUCCUUGGAUUUACCUCUUUUACAGUAUUUGCCAGGCAGUUCUUUCUUAAACUACUGAAAUGAUAACUGUGAAUACCUGUGAUAAGUGACAUGUGUGAAAAGUAUGAUUUUUUUGAGAAGGAGAACUGAAAUUUGGGGUAAAAAACUUCAAUACUGAGUACACGACAAUAUAUUCAAUGCUGCCUGCAGCUAGUUAUUAUUUUUUAGACCUGCCUACCGCACGGGCAGUAGCAGGUUUUUGGAAGAAUCUUGCAAAGUGUGUUACCUAUAUUUUCAGUCAACUGAUUCACUUACAAAAAGCUGUCUACUUCUUCAUUUUAAAAGUAUUUGGCUUUUGUUAGUAUGCGGUUUUACUAAACAAGGUAGUUCAUAGGACAUGUGAAGCAAAUUCAGAUUUGCAAAGGUUGAAAGGUAUCAGUGCCUCCCUCUUGCCUGUAUAUCCUAUGGCUCAUUGAUAGAGCCAUUACUCUUUACUGUUUUCAUUUAGUUAAAAGAAUUCCUUCUUCAAACUAAAGCUUGACAAAGCAGUAUUCCUAAAUAUGCCUUGAAGAACUAAGUUAAAUGUAUAAUACUUGCCUUUACUAGUCAUUCUUUACACUUGCACAAUUAUGUAGUCCUUACAUGUUUACAGGGUUUAUUAUGUUUACAGAUUAAGCUAAUUUCUGUAGUUGCAUUUUUAUAUUUUUAGUAUUUCACUUUAGUCAAACCAAAUAAUUUGUUAAAAAUUACCAAAGAAUAGUUACAGUGCAUCAUUUGUAUUAAAUUUAUUACCAUGUUUCUUAUGCUUUUUAAAAAACUGUUUACUAUGAAAAUAUUUUGCUAUAAAUCCAAAACUCUAGGCAAAAUGCUAGAGAUAGACUUCUACUUUAGCUAAAUAGAAGUACAUAAAAAUCCUGUGCGUGCAUUCAACAAAGGUUUACUGAAUGCCUGUGAUAUGCAUAGCUCUGUCUAGGCCAAAGGGUGAGAGUUGUCAGCUUCAAAGAAAUCCAUCCCCAUCCUCAAGGAACUUAGAGAUGUGUAAAGGAAUUUUGAAACAAUCAAAAGUCAGGGUGAGCAGAAUAAGGCAAAAGGGAAAGUGUUCCAGUGCACCUGCAAAGGUAAAGUGUGCCAAGGCUGUAUUUAUAUAUUUUAUACCUAUAUUGGAAUGAUUGUAUAGAAAAAUGCUCUUGAAAAAAGUUAAAGCUAUUUCUCAAUAUGGUAUUUUGGUGAUUUAGGGAUAAUUGUAAAUAUAUGUUAUGUCUUCUCAAAUACACACACACACACACUCCAAGAGGUGUAAAAAAGUANUUCUCAAAUACACACACACACACACACUCCAAGAGGUGUAAAAAAGUAUAUCUGGCUGUUGGUUACAGUUUGCUGGGGUCUAAUACCAUGUGUACUUUUCAGCACCUGGUAGGGAUCUCAUAAGUGACAGAAGCGAAGCCACUUUCCAAACAUCACAUCAGCAGCCCAGCUUAGAGAAAGUAAUUCACAGAUCCAUGUACCCUCUGUCUUAUCUUCUUCUGUGUUAACCAGCAUUCAGGGGAAACACCCUGCUUUUAUCACUUACCAAAUGUUUAAACCGAAGCAACAUACUUCACCUCUCUGGGUUCCUGGUUCUUCAUCUGUCAAAGGAAAAUAACUAUGUAUGCAUGCUCUCAUUGUAAGAUNNNNNNNNNNNNNNNNNNNNNNNNNNNNNNNNNNNNNNNNNNNNNNNNNNNNNNNNNNNNNNNNNNNNNNNNNNNNNNNNNNNNNNNNNNNNNNNNNNNNNNNNNNNNNNNNNNNNNNNNNNNNNNNNNNNNNNNNNNNNNNNNNNNNNNNNNNNNNNNNNNNNNNNNNNNNNNNNNNNNNNNNACAAAUCUAUGUAUACAUAUUUUUAUCUGUAUAUGGAUCUUACCAUCAGAAUUCAUUUUCUCCACAUGAGCAAAGUAAUGUUAAGAUGGGCCAAUGCAUUUUGGAAUGUUCUCAUUAUGUAGAACUGAACGUGAAAACUGCUUUUGUUAAAAAUGGAUUUUACCACAUGAUUGUUUAAAUAUCACUUCUGUCAAAUAUGGCAGAUUUCAGAGCUUGAGAAAAUAUAUAGCUUGCUUUUCAUCUGACUCAUUCACUUGGAUGAUUCUGUGACUCAGAUAAAACAGCGUAUUAAUAAGACCAGACACUCCCACCAGCACCCAGCCACAGACCAGCAUCUGCUUCAUUUUCCAGGUAUGCAGUGAUGGUCUGAAAGGACCCUGUAUUAAGCAACACAGCCCCUCAUCCCAAAUAGCAAAGUAUCUCAAAACACAUUCUACAGCUGGAAGUAAAUAGGGUCAUUUUCUUAGAGCAAGGAUGUCAUAUUUUUUUAGAACUUAUAAGCACAUAAUUUUAGCCUAUAUUUUCUCUGUAAUCAAAUUUUGACGGACAUAAAAUUGUAUUACAAAUGCAUUUCAUCCUAAUUUAAAGGUUUUAACUGUUUUUGUUUCUUAUUUAUAAUCUGAAAUUCCAGAGAAUUAUCAAGUCAAACAACUCUUUUGAAUUAUAAGCCACUUGAUAUUGUUUUCUAAAAUCUUCUGAUAUGGGAAAAUAUUACCAAGAUUAAUGUAUCAAAUUUUAUUGUAUACUUUAAAAUAUAAAACCAUUUUUAAAAAUCUGAUACCAUAAAUAAAGUUCUAUUCUAGCAAAACCA